AAGUCGUAACAAGGUUUCCGUAGGUGAACCUGCGGAAGGAUCAUUAUUAAAAAUUUUUACAUUUUAUUGUAAAAAAAAAUUGUAUUCAAAACCCAUACUCUUUUAAAAUCAAAAAAAAAAUUUUUUUAUAAUAAAAAAUUUUUUUUAAAUAAAAAUAAUAAAAUAAGACAACUUUCAACAACGGAUCUCUUGGCUCUC
rnacentral:misc_RNA from 1 species